GGGGUCAUAGCUCAGUUUGGUUAGAGCGCUUCCCUGUCACGGAAGAGGUCGCGAGUUCGAGUCUCGUUGGCCCCG
rnacentral:tRNA from 2 species